rnacentral:rRNA from 1 species
UACAGAGGGGGCAAGCGUUGUUCGGAAUUACUGGGCGUAAAGGGCGCGUAGGCGGCCUUCUAAGUCGAACGUGAAAUCCCCGGGCUCAACCCGGGAACUGCGUCCGAUACUGGAAGGCUUGAAUCCGGGAGAGGGAUGCGGAAUUCCAGGUGUAGCGGUGAAAUGCGUAGAUAUCUGGAGGAACACCGGUGGCGAAGGCGGCAUCCUGGACCGGCAUUGACGCUGAGGCGCGAAAGCCAGGGGAGCA